rnacentral:lncRNA from 1 species
AGCUCUUGCUCUUGCUCCUUCGCCUGCUUGCUGCGUGAGACUGAGUAACUGCUAGAUCCUUGGACUUCCAUUCACAGCUGCGACUGAACCAUUGUUGGGAAUUGGGCUGCCGACUUGCAGAAAACAGAUGGAUCAUGGAGAAUGACAGUUGAUUAUCGAAAACUAAAUCAGGUGGUAACUCCAAUUGCAGCUGCUGUACCAGAUGUAGUUUCGUUACUUGAGCAAAUUAACACAUCUCCUGGCACCUGGUAUGCGGCUAUUGAUCUGGCAAACGCCUUCUUCUCAGUACCUGUCCAUAAGGACCACCAGAAGCAAUUUGCUUUCAGUUGGCAAGGCCAACAGUAUACCUUCACAGUUUUGCCUCAAGGAUAUAUUAACUCUCCUGCCCUGUGUCAUAAUUUAGUAAGAAGGGAUCUUGAUCGUUUGGAUCUUCCACAAAAUAUCACAUUGGUGCACUAUAUUGAUGACAUUAUGCUGAUUGGACCAAGUGAGCAGGAAGUAGCAACCACUUUGGACUCAUUGGUAACACAUAUGCGUAUCAGAGGAUGGGAAAUAAAUCCAACCAAAAUUCAAGGACCAUCUACCUCAGUGAAAUUCUUAGGAGUCCAGUGGUGUGGGGCAUGCAGAGAUAUUCCUUCUAAGGUGAAAGAUAAGUUAUUGCACCUGGCCCCUCCUACAACCAAGAAAGAAGCACAACGUUUAGUGGGUCUAUUUGGAUUCUGGAGACAACACAUCCCUCACUUGGGUGUGUUACUUAGGCCUAUUUACCAAGUGACUCGGAAAGCUGCUAGCUUUGUGUGGGGCCUGGAACAGGAGAAGGCCCUUCAACAGGUCCAGGCUGCUGUGCAGGCUGCUCUACCACUUGGACCAUAUGACCCAGCAGACCCGAUGGUACUUGAGGUGUCUGUGGCUGAUAGAGAUGCUGUUUGGAGCCUCUGGCAGGCUCCUGUAGGUGAAUCACAGAAAAGACCUUUGGGAUUUUGGAGCAAAGCUCUACCAUCAUCGGCAGACAACUAUUCUCCCUUUGAAAAACAGCUCUUGGCCUGCUAUUGGGCCUUAGUGGAAACUGAACGUUUGACAAUAGGACACCAAGUUACUAUGCGACCUGAACUACCCAUCAUGAACUGGGUACUAUCAGACCCUGCAAGUCAUAAAGUGGGACGCGCACAGCAGCAGUCUAUUAUCAAAUGGAAGUGGUAUAUACGUGAUCGGGCCAGAGCAGGUCCUGAAGGCACAAGCAAGUUACAUGAAGAAGUUGCUCAAAUGCCUAUGGUUUCUAUUCCUGUUACAAUGCCAUCUGCUGCCAAGCAUGCACCUAUAGCCUCAUGGGGUGUUCCCUAUGAUCAACUGACCGAAGAGGAGAAGACUAGAGCCUGGUUUACUGAUGGCUCUGCACGUUAUGCAGGCACCACCCAGAAGUGGACAGCUGCAGCAUUACAACCCCUUUCUGGGACAACCUUGAAAGACACAGGUGAAGGGAAAUCUUCACAGUGGGCAGAACUUCGGGCAGUACACAUGGUAUUACAGUUUGUUUGCAAGAAGAAAUGGCCAGAUGUACGAUUAUACACUGACUCAUGGGCUGUAGCCAAUGGAUUGGCUGGAUGGUCAGGGACUUGGAAAGAUCACAAUUGGAAAAUUGGUGAGAAAGACAUCUGGGGAAGAAGUAUGUGGAUAGAUCUCUCCAAAUGGGCAAAGGAUGUGAAGAUAUUUGUGUCCCAUGUAAAUGCUCACCAAAAGGUGACUUCAGCUGAGGAGGAGUUCAAUAAUCAAGUGGAUAAGAUGACCCGUUCUGUGGACAAUCAGCCUCUCUCCCCAGCCAUCCCUGUCAUUGCUCAAUGGGCACAUGAACAAAGUGGCCAUGGUGGUCGAGAUGGAGGUUAUGCUUGGGCUCAGCAACAUGGGCUUCCACUCACCAAGGCUGACCUGGCUACAGCUGCUGCUGAUUGCCAGAUCUGCCAACAGCAGAAACCAACACUGAGCCCCAGAUAUGGCACCAUUCCUCGAGGUGACCAGCCAGCAACCUGGUGGCAGGUUGACUACAUUGGACCACUUCCUUCGUGGAAAGGACAGCGUUUUGUUCUUACUGGAGUAGAUACUUAUUCUGGUUAUGGAUUUGCCUUUCCUGCACGUAAUGCCUCUGCUAAAACCACCAUUCACGGACUGACAGAAUGCCUCAUCUAUCGUCAUGGUAUUCCACACAGUAUUGCUUCUGACCAAGGAACUCAUUUCACAGCCAGAGAAGUACGACAGUGGGCUCACGAUCAUGGAAUUCACUGGUCUUACCACAUUCCCCAUCAUCCUGAAGCAGCUGGGCUGAUAGAAAGAUGGAAUGGCCUUUUGAAGACGCAGUUACAGCGCCAAUUAGGUGGUAACAGCUUGGAAGGCUGGGGCAGAGUUCUUCAGAAGGCAGUAUAUGCUUUGAAUCAGCGCUCGAUAUAUGGUACAGUUUCACCCAUAGCCAGGAUUCAUGGGUCCAGGAAUCAAGGGGUGGAAAACGGAAUAGUUCCACUUACUAUCACUCCUAGUGACCCUCUAGGAAAAUUUUUGCUUCCUGUCCCCAUAACUCUAGGUUCUGCUGGCUUAGAAGUUUUGGCUCCAGAGAGGGGAGUGCUCCUACCAGGAGCUACAACAAACAUUUCAUUGAACUGGAAGCUCAGACUUCCCCCUGGUCAUUUUGGGCUUCUAAUGCCCUUAAACCAACAGGC